UCUUCUCUCUCAGGCCUAUUAUUUCUCCCAUCUCCUUGCAGCGACUCAAAAAAAUCCCCUUGCAGCCGCCACCGUAAGCCCCCGCCGCCAGCCCACAACGGAGUCCCGGUCGUCGGCUCUCCGGUGCUCUCCGCCUCCCUAGAAGGUCGUAUCUCGCCGCCGUCCCGAACUCGCCGGCUCUCUCCACCCCUGAGGUCUCAUAUCUCCCAAGGAUCCUCUCCAACCCGGAGUUCCUCGCGGAGGGCACCGACUGACACCGGCCUGCGGAGGCGAGGCAGGCCGCCCCUCCUCCGACCAUCCAACCAUAGCAGCGUUGCUCCUCCGACGAGCGGAGGGGCUCUCCUCUCCCAUCGGCCAGCGCCUCGACUCCGACUCCUACAGAUCGCGCCGGCCAACAUCCUCUGUCGCCUAAUCUUAACCACACCGUGUUCCUUCGGACAUCGUCGUGAACCUCCAAGCAGAUAAGCCAACCUUCAUGUGUAUCUCCCGUUAUAUCUCUACUCUAUUCUUCUCUGCUCUGUUUUUCAGGAAGAAGCUGGAUUGGUGGCCGUUUCCGGUUUCCAGCAUGCAGAUGGGUAUGCCAACGGGCAACGGCUGUUCCUUGGUUGAACUAUGCAAUGCAUCUCGCUGAAUUCCAAGCUGUACUAUUUUGGGUCUGCAUACAUACCCAAGCAGGGGAGAUAAAAGCUGCAAGUUGGGUAGAAAGCUUGCAUGAUUCUCGAUAGCAGUUUACAUACAUGCCUGAAUAUGUUCAAGAUGCAUUGCAUUGCGGCACCAUCAACGGUUCAGUCGACUGUCAAACACACAGACGCAUCGGACAUCGAAAGCGAAGGGCACCCAACUCUCAAGGGUGCAAGCAGAAAAAGAAGAAGCCAUUGGAAUAAUCUGAUCCUUUUCAGGGGCUAAUUGAGACCAGAAGAGGAAACAUCCAUUUCUGUACAUCAAGAAGCAUAGCAGAAAAAUUCAAUGUGUGCCCAUUGUUGCCUCUGAUCUCUCUAUGUUCUUCACCGCCCCAUUGCCCAGCCACAUUCAUAGUGAAAAGAACCAUGUCUUUACAAAACAAACAUACAAGGUGGACCUGCUUUACUACCUGGUACGUGCACAUAGGGUCGUCAACGCCGUCAUCCUGCCUGUUAUGCUGCCGUAUCAAGUUUGGGUUCAAAGGAGUCAAGUCAAAAAGGCCAAGAGCGCUAUGCAUUUUUAUGAUGAUUAGUCCAUCUGAUCAACCGAGGAUCGACAUCUCUGUUUCUGUUUAUGGUGGGCAAGGAGGAGGAGCGAUCUCUCUACCGUGGGCACCCACUGCAGCUACUGCCGAAGUAUGAGCAAUCCCCGAUGCCAAGAUCAUAGAGCAAUCUCUUACAAUUUUGCGCUUUUGGCCGUGCGUCCUCUCUUCGGCUCUGAGGCCGAUUUCGCUACUCUCCCACUGAGGUUCUCAGUUCAUGGAAUCAUUGUUUGGAUCUUCUUCCCGGUGCCAAAAUAUGUUGAUACGCCCUCUGUACAAGAAUCUGCGAGGUGUUUUCCUGUAGUCUGCCCAUUUUGCCCAGUGCAAGUUCUGUUUGAAAUUUCUUAUCGGUGCUUAACCAAUAUAUGUAGCCUGAUAGUUUAUUGAACAUUUAUUCCAUCUUAUUCUGUCCCUAAAACAGUUUUUUGUGAAAAAAAUAUUUUUACAGGACUGAUAGAUAAAUUGGUGUUGUAGCCUAGAAGCAGAAACAUAUCCCAUAACAAACAUUUACUUUUUUUCUUAAGAAUAUUGCAACUGUCA